CGUAGGGGCAAGCGUUGGCCGGAUUCAUUGGCGGUAAGAAGCGUGUAGGCGGCCAGGUAGGUCGGUUGUGAAAACUGGAGGCUCAACCUUCAGAGGUCGACCGAAACCAUCUGGCUAGAGUCCGGGAGAGGGGAGUGGAAUUCCUGGUGUAGCGGUGAAAUGCGCAGAUAUCAGGAAGAACACCCGUGGCGAAGGCGGCUCUCUGGGACGGUACUGACGCUGAGACGCGAAAGCGUGGGGAGCGAACAGG
rnacentral:rRNA from 1 species